ensembl:lncRNA
CAUGCGUAGUCGGCCCAAGCACGCUCUUUCUCCAUCCCUGCCCCGCCUCCUCUCUUCUCAACCGCUUUUCAAGAGCUGUUGGGGAAGUGUUUGGGCUUCUGACUCAAAGUGAAAGGACUGAGUAUAGGGAGUUGAACAUCACCGCUGUGACCACCUCUCUGGAUUUGUGACUACCUACAUAACUCAGUAUCCCUGAAAGGUAGAAUUGUCAGAAAAGACCAUGAACCAUAAUGAGAUGUCACAGCCUGGAGUGACAUGUAAAGUAGCUUCAAAAACAUUCUUCUUGGUGUCAAUGUUAACAAUAAAGUAGAAGGAAAUGAAUCUUUGCCAAGAAAAUCCCAUGGACAUUAUGGUCCACAGGAUCAUGAAGAAUCAGACAAGGCUGAAUAAUUGAAUGACAACAAAGAUACUGGAAUGGCUUGCUAUUUCCUUUUCCAAAUCACUGUCCAGAUGAGGAAACUGAGACAAGCAGAUGUUAAACGACUUAUCCAGAGUCACACAAUUAGUGUGUAUCUGAAGCUGGACUUGAAUGUUUUGAAUCCAGGCCAGAUUUGAUUGAGAAUAGAACUGAGAAUCCUGAUUCACAUAAGUUUUCAUAAAUGAGAUUAAAGUCUUAGAUGAGAGAGAGUGGGAGGAAGGGAGAGAGAAAAAUUUGGAGCACAGGGUUUUACAAAGACCCAGAGAACUGGAGUGACUUGCCUAAAAUCACCUGAAUACUGUGUGUCAGGAUAAAGGCUUGAAAAGAGAUACUUGAUUCCAAAUCCAGAACUUUUGCCACUGUUCCAGGCCAUGUAGACCUUUAAAGGAAGCUAUGAGAAACUACUUUCCCUUCUUGAUUAUGAAUGAUCGUGAAAUGGAGAAUGAAAGUUUCUCCAUCUUUUCUCCUCCAUGAACUGCAGGUGUGUAAAAUUUUUCCCUUUUGAUAUGAUUUUCAUUGUGCAGCAUGAUGAACACUGAAAUAUAUUUAUAAGAAUUGAACAUAUUUAAGCUAUAUCAGAUUGCUUUCUUUCUUGGGAAGUGAGGAGAAAAUGAGGGAGAAAUAUUUGGAAUACAGGAUUUUGCAGAGUUAUUGGAGAAACUGUUCAUGUUUGGCCCAUUUAAUGUGACUCCUACAAUGCCUCAGAGGUCACUGAAGUUUGUGUGUAUAAUGAGCUCCUGGUUCUGCUCAUUUCAUCUCCUAAUACAAAUAAAAUAGAAGAAAAAGAAGAUAUUACACUUUCAUGGGACAGUAAAAAUAUAUUUCAGUUUGUCCCAGGAGGACUCCUAUUCUGCCAGUCUACAUUUGACCUGAGGAACAAUUGUUUAUUUAUUGUGAGGAAAUCUUGAGAUCUUGGAAUUUUCUGACCACUAUCUUCCCAGAAUCCUCCUGGGAACUCCUUUUUAAUUUGAAUUCCAGAGCAGAUGUCCAUGGUCUUGAGGCACAUCUUUGCAAAUAGAAGACAUCUUAUGAGAAUGAAUGUAUAACAGAAUGAAGAAGAGACAUUCCAUUUGAGAAUGAAUUUUGGAAGACACUUUGGGAAAUAUUUGGAGCAAGCAGCUGGGUCAGGGGGUGGUGCUACAUUCCUAACUCCUGCAAUGUAGAAGAGAAAACUGUAGCUAAUAUAAAUAAAAUAAUGAGAGACAAACUAAAUGCAAAAAUAAGUGAUAAAACAUUGCUAAUUUUGCCUUUACAACUCUACAUGCUUCCAUGGAAUGUGAGUUCAAUAGCAGUUGAGAAAGGAGAAUCAGCAAGAGAGAGAAACUCUGAAGUUGUGGGAUACUGGAAACAAAGCAUAUUUGGAACCGAAGCUGAUUUUCCUUCCUCUGAAGUAGUCACCGUUCAUUUAUAACAUGGUUGUUUUGUCAUUAUUGAGAAAAACAAACAGCUAGUUUGAUGGAAAAGGCCGCCCCAGUCCCCUGGGAAGGGAGAGUUCAGAUGUGAUACAAGCUGACAGAGGGUGAAAAAAUAAUUUUCAAAGUGAUAAAUUUGGGCAGCUGUGAUGGACAGCAAAGAUGGCAUCUGCCCAGAGAAGUAAAAUUCAAGGUUAAACCCAGUUUUCUAAAGUCUGCUUCCAGGGGCAGAAGUGUGGAACAGAGUCUCCUUAAUUUCAUGAAAAAUAGAAGAAUUUUUCUCAAAUCCUGCCUCUGAUGUUCACUCCUUCUGUGACUUUUGGCAAGAAGUGGAUUCAGCACUGGCCGAGCUAUCGAAGUGCCCAGUUGGGCUGAGUGGGUUAGCGAUUGCCCUCGGCUAGAGACUAAGGGGUGAAAGUGUCACUGCCCCAGGCCGGAGCCUCUUGUGGGGCUCUGGGUAUUAGCAGCUGACCGCAAACUGCCAGUUCUACCGGCACUCUGCCCGUCAGUCUCUGCUCCAACGUCUCUGCCCAGCGUCUCUGCCUGACAAAUCGGCCCUGGAAAAACUCUAUGGCCCCAAGCCGAGCCCCCCACCGGGCAGAUUGGAGGCUAACCCAGGCUGCGUCCUCCUGCCGUGGAGGAUCACAACUGCCCCAAGGAAAAGCCUGUACUGUGGGUUGGGGCUGGGAGCUUGUGCUCAGAUCUGUGCCUUCACCCUCGGUUUGAGACUCUCCUCGGAACCUAAUUUCUCUCCCCGUCUGCGCCGAUCUCCCCCCUGGCCCCGGAACCAACCUUUUUUGUCGAGACUGCAGAUUUUCUUUGGCCGGGACCAGUCUCAAUAGAUCAUUCAGUCAGUCUCUGGAGGACAUUGUUGAUAGAUGAAAUUGUCCAAAUCGUCCAGGUGCAUGUUCUACUAUCUUGAAUGGGUCCCACCCAAAGAAGAACUAGAUAAUCUAGUCUACUUGAAUCUAGUCUACUUGAAUUCUUCACUCUAUCAGGAAGCACCUGUAAGAAUAUGAGCUAUUGAAUGAUUUGCUAACACAUACUAUUUUCAAAAUUAAAAAGUAUAUACAUAUACAACCUUCUUAGAAGAUAUAUUAGAGAAACACUUCUCUCCCCCUUACCCUUAUAGAAACUUUUUAACAUAUGUACAUAAAUACAUAUAUGUAUGUGUUUAUUUAUAUCAUAUAUUAAUGUAUCAAACUCAAAUACCUACAUAUAUGUAUAUAUGUGUAAAUAUACACAUAUGUAUACAUACAUAUAAUCACAUUUACAGUUAGUCAAACAAAGUAAAAGAAUACAUUGUCCAUGUAUGGGGUAAGCAACUUUCAUUCUUCUGUUCUCAUUCAUCAACCUCUGCCAAAAAUUGGGAAAGAUAGAUACAUUUUUUAAAGUGGAGUAUUAAUAAAACAUUUUUAAAAAGGGAAACAAAACCUAGAGAACAAAACAGACUUACUAAGGCUAAGGAUAUUCCUUGGGGAGAGAAGAAUUAGGCUGGAGUUAACUUUUCUGGAUAGUAACAUCCUUUCCAUUGUUUUUUUGGGGGGAGGUUUAAAAGGAAACUACUUUAAGGGGAAGGCCAAGGGUAUUGAUUGAAGAGAAAACCAUGUCUAAGAAGGAUCAGGGAAUUAGUGGGCCAGAGCAUAGCAUAUGAGGAUGGGGUCAAGUUAAGAAGGAGUAGCUAGCUCUCUUUUUCAAUUAAAUUCUUUCAACUGUCAACAACUGUUAAACUGAGAAGAAUCAUACAGGACUGAAUAGGCAAGAAUGAUUUAAUUCAAUUCAGUACAGGCUAAUAAACAUUUAAGUACCUAAAUAUUCUGGGAUACAUCACGGAAGGGGAAAAAAAGUGCUUCUUAGCAAUUUGAUUUUAAAAUAUAAUGAAAAUGCAUACUUUUGCCUUAAGGAAAGAAGACAUUUUCUCAGUUGAAAUUCUAAAUAAAAUGAAAAUUGCAGGGUCCAUUGAUAAUGCAGAAGGUAAAGAUCAAAAGAUACAUGAAAGUACAGGCAACUUUUCUUCAAGAAGAGAUGAAGCAAUAGGACAGAGAGGAUAACUUGAACACAUCUUGUAUAUGCACAUAAUAAUUUUUUUCCUAGAAAUGUCACUAUUACUUAAGAUAGUAUAUAGUUGCAAGUUUUUUUUUAAAAAAACAAGUAUUUUUUAUUUAAAAGUGAAUAAUCUUCUUUAUCAUCUUUUCCAAUCCAACACCAAGUAGUGAAUAAUAUUAAAAAUUUAGUGAACAAUUUUUAAAAACCUAAUUUAAUUAACUUUUAUUUGCUACAUAUAUUUCUUCUCUCUUUUAAAGGGUACUAUGAAUUUGUCUUAGUUUAAAUCUCAUUCCUAGAAUCACAGGUAUUAAGACAAAAACCCAGAUAGUAUAACUUCCAUUUUACAGAUGAGGAAAUUGAAGUCCUCUUUAGUGAUUUGCCUUAAUAAAAUGGAGGCAGAGCACAAUGAUUUUCCCAAAUUCAUUCAGCUACUAAUUUUUGUUAACCAGUGUUCCUUUCAAUGUCUCACAAUGAAAUUCCUCAUGAUCCUCCUAGAAGACUAAUUGGCCAUAUGGUCAAGAUGCCUUAAAUAAUUUUGCUUUUUGGUCAGUUAACAUCAUUUCAAAAAUCAGCAAUCCACGAGUGCCUAUGCUCCUGCAAUGACAAGUUUAGUUGAUUAUUUCAUCAAUGCAACAAUGCUAAUGCUUACUAAUUCAGGAAUCAAAAAAAAAAAAAAAAGAUAGCAUGGAUCACUUCCUUCUGUUGACUUCCCCCGAGGACCAUCUCCAGGGAUCCUGAUCUACAUCUUGCUAUUGGAGAUGACACUGGAGGAGAAAAUGAGACUUGUGCCUUUGCACCACCUACUCUCAAUUAAAUCCAAUUCAUGUGUAUGUCCCGACAUCACCUCCCUAAUGUCAUGGUUUUCUUUGAGA